rnacentral:rRNA from 1 species
AUUGAACGCUGGCGGAAUGCUUUACACAUGCAAGUCGAACGGCAGCACGGGGGCAACCCUGGUGGCGAGUGGCGCACGGGUGAGUAAUACAUCGGAACGUGUCCUAAGGGUGGGGAUAGCCCGGCGAAAGCCGGAUUAAUACCGCAUACGCUCGAAAGAGGAAAGUGGGGGAUCGUAAGAUCUCACGCCCAAGGAGCGGCCGAUGCCGGAUUAGCUUGUUGGUGAGGUAAAAGCNCACCAAGGCGACGAUCCGUAGCUGGUCUGAGAGGACGACCAGCCACACUGGGACUGAGACACCGGCCCAGACUCCUACGGG